rnacentral:rRNA from 1 species
CCUACGGGAGGCAGCAGUGGGGAAUAUUGCGCAAUGGGCGAAAGCCUGACGCAGCGACGCCGCGUGAGGGAUGAAGGUCUUCGGAUCGUAAACCUCUGUCAGCAGGGAAGAACGGUCACUGUGUUAAUCAGCAGUGAAUUGACGGUACCUGCAAAGGAAGCACCGGCUAACUCCGUGCCAGCAGCCGCGGUAAUACGGAGGGUGCGAGCGUUAAUCGGAUUUACUGGGCGUAAAGCGCUCGUAGGCGGUAUGUCAAGUCAAGGGUGAAAUCCCCGCGCUCAACGUGGGAACUGCCUUUGAAACGGGCAAACUGGAGUGUGUGAGAGGAUAGUGGAAUUCCAGGUGUAGGAGUGAAAGCCGUAGAUAUCUGGAGGAACAUCAGUGGCGAAGGCGACUAUCUGGCACAUAACUGACGCUGAGGAGCGAAAGCGUGGGUAGCAAACAGGAUUAGAUACCCCGGUAGUC